rnacentral:rRNA from 1 species
CCCUUAGAUGUUCUGGGCGGCCCGCGCACUACAAUGGCGCUUUCAGCGAGUUCCUAUGUUGAAUUUUCCUGGGUAUUCUUGGAAGCGGCGUCUUGACUUGGGAUAGAUCCUUGUAAUUGUUGGUUUUGAACGAGGAAUUCCUUGUAAUCGCGGUUGAUCAGCUCGCGUUGAAUACGUCCCUGCCCUCUGUGCACACCGCCCGUCGCUCCUACCGAUUGAAUGAUCCGAUGAAUACCAUGGAUUGAGAGUACGAAUAGGUUCGCUUAUUUCUGCUGCUCGAGAAGUGGAGUAAAUCUUAUCAUUUAGAGGAAGGAGAAGUCGUAACA